rnacentral:rRNA from 1 species
AGUGAACGCUGGCGGCAGGCCUAACACAUGCAAGUCGAACGACCGCAUAGUGAGAGCUUGCUCUUACGGGUGGCGACUGGCGGACGGGUGAGGAAUACAUCGGAUUCUUCUUUUUCGUGGGUGAUAACGUAGGACAACUUCUUCUACUACAGCAUAUAUCGUACGGGUGGAAGCAGGGGUGCUUCGCGCUUUUCGCGUUUGAUAGAGCCGAGGUCGGAUUACCUAGUUGGCAUGGUAAAGGCUUACCAAGGCGACGAUCCGUAGCUGGUCUGAGCGGAUGAUAAGCCAGACUGGAACUGAGACACGGUCCAGACUCCUACGGGAGGCAGCAGUGGGGAAUAUUGGGCAAUGGGCGAAAGCCUGAUCCAGCCAUACCGCGUGAGUGAAGAAGGCCUUCGGGUUGUAAAGCCCUGUUGUUGGGAAAGAAAAACAGUGGGUUAAUCCCCGACUGUACUGACGGUACCCAAAGAAUAAGCACCGGCUAACUUCGUG